GCUACGACGAUAUAGGAAGAGGGAGACAAGACGGGGAUGACAUAUAUAUUGUGUGUUCAAAUGUGAGGAUUAUGGCGAAUUCAUAUAGGAUUAGUAGGCAUGAGGAACUUAAUUAUAUCAGCAUUUCAUUGUUAGAGUAGAGAAAUCUUUCAUGACGACGCAAGUGGGAUCGAUAUCGCUGGUAAGAUGGGAAGAGAAUGCUCAGCACGGUGGAAAAUACUCACCAGUGUGAUCAACCUACUUUCGUACAUACAACAGGGGAUCGGAAGCAAUGGUCAGCAUGGUAUUUUGUAACUCUUUCACUACCAGAAAGAGAGAAUUCGUAAGAGUUGAAAACCAUCAUGAAAAUGCAAAAAGUCGUCACAAAAAUGAUCAGUGGCGGAUGACUGUCAGACAAAAAACUUGGCAAAUUGAACGCCACAGGAGCACCAUUUAUGUGAUGGUUGACCGCCAGGAACAUUUUUCUUGGCGAUAGUUUGUGAGUGCUACCUUCACAAUAAUUCGGACAUCGUCAGGUUUUCAGAAUCCUAUUCGUGGAAGCUGAACUUCAAGGGGAAAACGUCACAAAAAGUUAUUAUUCCUGGCAGUCGUCUACAACCCACACGAAAAUUUAUAUUAAAAUUAGCAGGUGUUCAGAAUCUCAUUUUCGAGGAAACAAGUAGUUUCAUUAGGUUGGAAGGUCUUCUUUUUUAAGGUAAAUUAGACGGUGUUUUGCGCAUUGGGAUCUUUUGCGUGCAGCCGACUUGGUCUCCUGAAGUUCCUAUUCGAAGCUAUUAGCCACCUGGCUGACCAGUAUUGUAAUCUCUAUUGUUUUAUCCCCG
rnacentral:lncRNA from 1 species